rnacentral:rRNA from 1 species
AUAACCCCGGGAAACUGGGGAUAAUACCCCAUAAUCUAUGGAAGCUGGAAUGCUCUAUAGUUGAAAGAUUUAUCGCCUUAGGAUGGGUCUGCGGCCGAUUAGGUAGUUGUUGGGGUAACGGCCCAACAAGCCUUUGAUCGGUACGGGUUGUGGGAGCAAGAGCCCGGAGAUGGAUUCUGAGACACGAAUCCAGGCCCUACGGGGCGCAGCAGGCGCGAAAACUUUACAAUGCGGGAAACCGUGAUAAGGGAACUCCGAGUGCCCGUAAACGCGGGCUGUCCAUCUGCUUAAAAAACAGGUGAAGAAAGGGCCGGGCAAGACCGGUGCCAGCCGCCGCGGUAAUACCGGCGGCUCGAGUGGUGGCCACUAUUACUGGGCUUAAAGCGUCCGUAGCUUGGUUGUUAAGUCUCUUGGGAAAUCUGUCGGCUUAACCGACAGGCGUUUAAGGGAUACUGGCAAUCUAGGGACCGGGAGAGGUGAGAGGUACUUCAGGGGUAGGAGUGAAAUCCUGUAAUCCUUGGGGGACCACCUGUGGCGUAGGCGUCUCACCAGAACGGCUCCGACAGUGAGGGACGAAAGCUGGGGGAGCAAACCGGAUUAGAUACCCGGGUAGUCCCAGCCGUAAACGAUGCGCGUUAGGUGUAUCGGUGACCACGAGUCACCGAGGUGCCGAAGGGAAACCGUGAAACGUGCCGCCUGGGAAGUACGGUCGCAAGGCUGAAACUUAA